UCCUCCCCCCAGCGGCCCCCGGCCCGCGGCUCCCCUAAGUGGGCGCGUGCGGGGCCUGGAAGGGGGCGGAGCCUGGGGCCGGGCGCGCGCCGGGGCGUCCCUCCCUGCCUCCGCCCCUGCCCCCGCCCCCGCCUGGCGCGCGGGCGGCGUGGACCUCCUGGUCAAUGGGAACGCUGGACUGGGCCGCCGGUGACGCGGUCAGGUGGGCCCCCCAGCUCGCACCCCGCGCCGCCUAGUUAGCUCUCCCGCUUCCGCUCCAUCUUGGCUCCGGUAGCUUGGCUUCUUGUUACUCUCCAGCUGCUGGGGCCGUAGCAGCCGGGACCAAGUGACCUCAGCAAACGCGAGGAGACAGUGGGUCUGAGCAAACCCGCGUUCCCGAGAAUUCGCCUGGGGCGUGAGGGCAGAUGUGGAUUGUCCGCUUCCUGCGACCCACCAACAUUAACUGAGCACCUAGUAUGUGAGACAGGAAGCUGUGAGGAGAGGAACACAUCAGGAUGAGACAAAGCCAGGGCCUGUUCUCAAGGAGCCUCUUCCUCCCCGUGCCGUCGUGGACCUUGCUCCGAGAUUCCCGGCCAUAGGUUGCUAAGAUGAUUAUGCAGAUCUAUCUGAUAAAGGGAAAAAAUUUCAGCAACUUCACCCAGCUUCUACUAUCUACGCGGCUGAAUUUGAAAGGCCAAAGAGCCACCUAAAAUUAUUCAGCUGCCUUUCCUGCUGAAGCAUUCAGAUGACCCAUAGGACAAAGGCACAGUUCAACCCCUUCAAUUACAGACGAGCUAACUGAAGCUGAGAAAGGAGAUGUGACUGAUUCAAGGUCACAGAGCCAGUUACUAAAAGAAUGGAUUAGAACCCACUUUUU